rnacentral:misc_RNA from 1 species
AAGUCGUAACAAGGUUUCCGUAGCGGAAGGAUUCAUUGUGCUCCCCCAUUCCGCCGGCCGUGUCGGCCUCUAGCGAUCGUUACUGCGCCAUUCUUACAGAGCUAGUGACACUUUCAGACACCAACAAGCAGAGGUCACUUGCCUCGCGCUGCGCCCACUCCAUGCAGAGGUCCCUGAAUCAAAACUGUUCGGCGAUGAUUUACCAGGGAUUGCCGCGUCCUAACGACCGGGUCGCUGGGCUCACGCCCCCCUAUCACCUUUGCAUGAAAACGGGCCUGCGCUUAAUUGUGCGGCCACCAAACUCGAACAACUGUUAACAAUGGAUAUCUUGGUUCUC